GACGAACGCUGGCGGCGUGCCCAAUACAUGCAAGUAGAACGCUGAAGGAGGAGCUUGCUUCUCUGGAUGAGUUGCGAACGGGUGAGUAACGCGUAGGUAACCUGCCUGGUAGCGGGGGAUAACUAUUGGAAACGAUAGCUAAUACCGCAUAAUAGUAGAUGUUGCAUGACAUUUGCUUAAAAGGUGCAAUUGCAUCACUACCAGAUGGACCUGCGUUGUAUUAGCUAGUUGGUGGGGUAACGGCUCACCAAGGCGACGAUACAUAGCCGACCUGAGAGGGUGAUCGGCCACACUGGGACUGAGACACGGCCCAGACUCCUACGGGAGGCAGCAGUAGGGAAUCUUCGGCAAUGGACGGAAGUCUGACCGAGCAACGCCGCGUGAGUGAAGAAGGUUUUCGGAUCGUAAAGCUCUGUUGUAAGAGAAGAACGAGUGUGAGAGUGGAAAGUUCACACUGUGACGGUAUCUUACCAGAAAGAGACGGCUAACUACGUG
rnacentral:rRNA from 1 species